rnacentral:rRNA from 1 species
UACGUAGGGUGCAAGCGUUAAUCGGAAUUACUGGGCGUAAAGCGUGCGCAGGCGGUGAUGUAAGACAGAUGUGAAAUCCCAGGGCUCAACCUUGGAACUGCAUUUGUGACUGCAUCGCUGGAGUGCGGCAGAGGGGGAUGGAAUUCCGCGUGUAGCAGUGAAAUGCGUAGAUAUGCGGAGGAACACCGAUGGCGAAGGCAAUCCCCUGGGCCUGCACUGACGCUCAUGCACGAAGCGUGG